GUUCCCUUAUCUUCUCUUCAUUUACAAGGGUAGCCAAACUCAACAGCAAGAAAGGAACCGCUUCCUUCCUUCCACCCGUUCCAACCCAGUUCGAAGCACAAGGUGCUUGAAUUCCCACAUUGCACAUGUGCCUAGUCUAACAGGAACCUACAGUCUUCUGCCACACCAAUUCUUUCUAAAAUGUGUAUGUCAGAGAGAAGAGAGAACUGCAACUUGUAAUUGCACCACCCAGGAUUUAAGUUUCAUUAAAGCCUCCAGCUUUUCCCUUUUCUCAAUGCUACAUAUACUCCAAAACAGGUGAACAAAAUGCAAGCAUGCAAGAGAAGAGGGAGGGAAACAACAGAAACAAUAAAGUAAUCUGCUGUUGUAUUAAAGAAAACCCAUCAACCUUUAAUUACCUUAUUAUAUACACCACCAGCCCAGCAACUAAGACCAGGACACCCUUGGAAGAUUGCUUCCUCCAUCAUCCUAUACCUUGGUUAGACUCCAAGAACCAUUCACGCUCUUGCUAGGCUUAGCUGACUGCUUCUGCCAAAGGAGCGGAGAUGAGUCGCAAUCAUGGGAAGAACCCGAAGGUGGACCUGAAGCUGAACCUGUCAGCGAAGCAGAUGGGAGCAAGAGGGGGGCCAUCAACAAGGGCAGUGAUCGAGGAGGAGGAGGAGGAGGAUAAUGAUUCCUGGUCAUCACCAUCGACAUCACCUGCGAGCUCGUGUGUGUCGUCGGAGGGUGAGCAAAAGUCCAACAGCCCGGAGGCAACCUCGAUGGUGCUCGCCGGGUGUCCCCACUGCCUCAUGUACGUCAUGCUCUCGAAGAAGGACCCCAAGUGCCCCAGGUGCAAGAGCACGGUGCUGCUCGACUUCCCCCCGGGCAACACCACUGCCAGCAGGAACAGGAAAAGCUGAUGGUGGCUGCACUUCCUGGUGCCGCCCACUUUUUGUGAUAUGUUCUCCAAUCUUCUCCUAGCGAUUCUAUCCUUAUUGAUCCUAGUUUAGUUCUCUCUUACAUGCUGUUGUUGUUCCCUCUCUCCCUCUCUAUAGAUCACUAUCUUGUGUCACCGUAAGACUGUGUACUCGGGUGAACCUAAGUAGCCCGAUGUUUCCCAUCAAAAGCUAUAGUAUAGACUCAGCACUUAUCUAA